rnacentral:rRNA from 1 species
GUCUACGGCCAUACCACCCUGAAUGCGCCCGAUCUUGUCGGAUCUCGGAAGCUAAGCAGGGUCGGGCCUGGUUAGUACUUGGAUGGGAGAUAAUUUUAUUGUCUUUGGAUAUAAGCCCAGAAGUGAGAUUGCUGGAUC